rnacentral:tRNA from 1 species
AGCCCGGUAGUGUAGCGGUCAAGCACAGUGGGCUUUGGACCCAUUAACUCAGGUUCGAAUCCUGACCGGGCUA